rnacentral:lncRNA from 13 species
UAAGCCAUUGUUCUUUCUGCUCUAUGAUUGGCCCCCUGUUUUGUCAUAGAUACUUGGGUUAGAAUAAAAGGUUAUAAGGGGGAGGAAAGGGCAGGAGAUUCACAGACACCUUCACAGUGAAUACUGUGGGUCCAGGAUAAAGCAGGAAACUGGGCACAUGGAUUUAGAAUCCUAGAAGAAUCAAACUGAAAAGGACUUAAGACCUCACAAGAGCAUGCUUCUGAGGUGUCCUUGAAGAGGCCAAAGAUGCCAGCCUUGAUGAGAAGCCCAGCAUCCCUCUUCUCUGCAAAGGAGCCAACAUUCUGAAGCCCCUCAAGGGGGGACGAAGCAGGCCCUGAGCCUGACCCUCCACCUGGAAGUUCAAGGUAAACAGACCAUUGUAAGGAGAGGGAGUGGUUGACAGGACCCAGAGAAAGGG